rnacentral:rRNA from 1 species
AGUGAACGCUGGCGGUAGGCCUAACACAUGCAAGUCGAACGGCAGCACAGGAGAGCUUGCUCUCUGGGUGGCGAGUGGCGGACGGGUGAGGAAUACAUCGGAAUCUACUCUGUCGUGGGGGAUAACGUAGGGAAACUUACGCUAAUACCGCAUACGACCUACGGGUGAAAGCAGGGGAUCUUCGGACCUUGCGCGAUUGAAUGAGCCGAUGUCGGAUUAGCUAGUUGGCGGGGUAAAGGCCCACCAAGGCGACGAUCCGUAGCUGGUCUGAGAGGAGGAUCAGCCACACUGGUACUGAGCCACGGUCCAGACUCCUACGGGAGGCAGCAGUGGGGAAUAGUGGACAAUGGGCGCAAGCCUGAUCCAUCCAUACCGCGUGGGUGAAGAAGGCCUUCGGGUUGUAAAGCCCUUUUGUUGGGAAAGAAAUCCAGCUGGCUAAUACCCGGUUGGGAUGACGGUACCCAAAGAAUAAGCACCGGCUAACUUCGUGCCAGCCGCCGCCGUAA